rnacentral:rRNA from 1 species
AUUGAACGCUGGCGGCAGGCCUAACACAUGCAAGUCGAGCGAGCGGCGGACGGGUGAGUAAUGUAUGGGGCUCUGCCCGAUAGAGGGGGAUAACUACUGGAAACGGUAGCUAAUACCGCAUACCAUCAGAUGUGCCCAUAUGGGUUUAGCUAGUAGGUGGGGUAAUGGCUCACCUAGGCGACGAUCCCUAGCUGGUCUGAGAGGAUGACCAGCCACACUUGAACUGAGACACUGUCCAGACUCCUACGGGAGGCAGCAGUGGGGAAUAUUGCACAAUGGGCGCAAGCCUGAUGCAGCCAUGCCGCUGGUGUGAAGAAGGCUGUAGGGUUGUAAAGCACUUUCAGCGAGGAGGCGUUACUCGCAGAAGAAGCACCGGCUAACUCCGUGCCAGCAGCCGCGGUAAUUC